GAAUGCAUUCAUUGCCCGCCCGACGCCAUUUAAACUUUCGAAACUUUUAUCGAUGUUUAAAUGAAUCUAGAAGAUAUGUAUAUAUGGGUUUACAUUUAUCUUUAUCUUUUACGGAAUUCAACGUAUCAUCAGCAAACAGAUAAACUGUAAUAUUUCAACAUGUUAAUGGCGCAAGUGAUAUCAUCCAUGUGUAUGAGCCAUGUUGAAGAAUAGCUAUUAAUGCGCGCGUCAAUUUGAAACGCGGUUACAUCGGUUUCGUCGUCCCUUCGCGUGUUUGCUUUUUGCAUCGUAAAUCUCUUCUGUGAUUUAUCCACUUCACCUCCUUUCCGCUGUUUUUGCGAUACUUCAGUUUCCAGGACAAUCGGAUCUUUGUGUAACGCUUUGCCUAGAUUUAUAGUGCACGAGAGCAGACACGUUUCUAAAGUACAUGAAUCGUGUGUUAUAAGUAAAAUGACAAGAGAGUUGCUUGCAUUUUGUGUCUGGUCAGUUAUUCUGGUUUUGAAGAAUCUGAAAAUUAAAUGAUUUUAAAAAUGUGUAAUUAAAUUUGUGUAGGAUUUAAUAGAAAAGGAGUAAUGAUUUCUUGUAAAAUGAUCGUAAGUUUCUGUUCUUAGUUCUUUAGUUUUUAAAAAAAAUUGUAAGAUUCUUUUUAAUA